CACAUGCGUGUAUUCUUCAUAGUGGUUUGUAUGGAAGCUUUUAUAGUCCUGGAAGGUGUGUCUGAAGUUUGACAUGGACAGGUUGGAGCUAGAAGAUGAACAUGUGGGAGUACAGUGUGUGUAUGUAUUUAUAGUAUAUUUAUUUGUGUGGACAAUGGUUUUUCAAGCACUUCUGAUUGAAAGGUUAUAGGCGAAGAUUACUGGCAUCUUACAGGAGCUAUUACGGAUGGGCACAUUUGUUACAUGACAUCUGUUCUCCAUCAGAACUGUAGCACCUGCGGAGUUAUUUCCUCCUCAGCCGCGUGUAUGGAUUUGGUUAUUGGAUGCAUUUUGCUUUCUGAGGUCACUUCAUCUGUUACACUGAUAAGCUAGCAAUGGGAGGCCAAAGUCCUACCGUGACUUCUGUAUGGAGUUGGUAGUACAACUUCAAAUGCAAAAAAAUCAGUUGAGGACAAGGUGGGACAGCGCCUGCUCAUAAAAGCCACCAGCUGUUAAUUGCUAUUAGUUUUCUUUCAUUGGUCAUUGGCUCUUGAGUGUCUAACAGUGCUUGCAUUUUCCAGCUUCUAAAGAGUGAUUUUAGCACGAACAAUGCUGAAGAGAGAAAAAUACACACCAUCUGUACUACUUCUUAGGAUUAUAAGCGUGUCAUUAGGGAAGGAUUUUAUUGUACAAAGUGAGCCUUCACAGCUCAGGAAGCCAAGAGAAGGCCAAUUUCUUUCCCCCCCCAACGUGCAAGAAGUGUUACUCCAGGUUUUAAAAGCACGCUCAUAAUGGUGAGGUAACUGCCUGUCCUUUUAGGAAACUGAAAUACCACGGUCCCUGAAGUCAUACUUCCUGGUGCUACAGUCACGUAUUUCAAUAUAUUUUAAGACAAAUUAGAGUAUGUUACACUGCCCAGUGUUUCACUUUGAAGUGUCAAGGCUGAAAUCAUUAGUAAAUUUUCCCUUCUGUAAAUUGCUCUUUGGAUAAAAAGCUAACAAAUACAUUUGCCUUUUCCUGAUUUCUCUAUUUUUUUUUCUUUCUAAUUGGUAUCAAAGGUGCUUAGGCUGUGAGCAAUGGUAUUGAUGGCUGUCACAUAACACCCAAAGACAGAGGUGUCUAUUGGUACUAGUUGUAUGGAGUUCCACAGGAACUGUGUUCUGCUGCGUCCUGGAGAGGUAAUGAGAGACCAAAUAAUGCCUCAGCUGAGGAUAUUCAGAUUAUUUGCACACGCUGAGCUAUCACAUAGCCCUGUUAGAAGAAAGCGAUGAAAUAAAAUCUAUGUUAACAGCGAGUUAACUGAGGCUGCUGGAGCGAAAAGGACAAAGAAAUGCACAUCAUUUGCAUGUGUUAAUAGGAAUAAGGAAGCUGAAAAAAACAGACCGUGCCCAUACUCCAUCACUGCCAGCACAGCCGCUUGGAGCUGCCCCGACGCUGAUCUACUGACGCUGGCUUUGUGCCAGAGUACAUCCCGAUCAUAUAGAUGAGCCGUAAAACUGAAGAUGGAAACACCGGAGUAUUGUGUUGGAAGGACAUUUUCAAGUGGGCGUAAAGAUGUUACCUUAAACCCUUACUUAAGUUUAU
ensembl:lncRNA